UGAUAAAAGUAGAGACAACCAUAUUCAAGGAAAUUUGUUUAGAUUAUAGAAUCUGUUUAGAAAAAAAAGUUGUGCAACAUCGAAACUGGACUUUGUAAUAAAAUUCAGUCUGGAAAGAACCUAAUGUAAAAAUGAGUCCGUCAAUAUAUGAGGAGCUUAAUUUUGAUAUCAGGUCAAUGACUUUUGUUUUAUGACUGUGACCUUGACCUCUGAGUUAGGGAUAAGGAUGUUGCAUUACACCCUAUGGGAAACAUUUGUACCAAGUAAUAUUACAAAGUUAUUGAAAGAAAAACCGUUGAAUUGCAAGUGUGACAUUGACCAUGAAAUAGGUUCUGUUUAAUUAAGAUGACAAGUCGUCUGAUUAUGGUAAUAUUGUUAUCCCUUGAUGGACGGCAGAGCUCUCGACCGGGCACGAAACCGAUCUUGUUCAUGCCAUGUUAGCAUUUGACUGCCAAGUGUGACCUUGGCCAUUUAAAGUUAGGAGUUUGAAAGAUGUACAUGACACAUUGUCUUAUUAUUGAGUAAUUAGUGCCAAGUAAUAUUGAAAUCCAAUGAUGAAUGAAAUAUGGACCCAAAGACGGACCUGAAAACGAAAUGACGGUCGGAAAAGCGCAAUCAUAUAGUCCCCUAAGCUGGUUUUGAUCAGUCUGCGAGUAAUUUCAUCUUCAGUCUGCUAACUAUCUUACUGUUGAGAAAAAAUAAAAUAUCAGUUUCAUGACAUUAAAUUUGAGGGCAUAAAAAUCACCCCACACUUAAGUGGCAGUGGCCAGUUUCGUACGUUGGUUAAUGUAUUUUACAGGCAUUAUAUUUAAAUGGACUUUUUGUUGUUCGUAGAACAUAUCGGGGCCAGGGAGAGUAAAUUUGAAAAUUCCACAAAUAUGUGCUGAUACCAGUGCGGAGAAAAAGUGAUAAUAAAUCCAUUUUUGACCAAUUCCAGGGAAGUGUUGAGCGAAUAUAUUGCAUAUUCUUAGCACUUCCUCGUGUGAUAUUUUAGUUUAAACAAUAUUUUAUUAUUUAAGCAACAUACACAUAAUAUGUACAACAUAUUUUUACAUGUCAAAUACAUGGAUUGGAAAACAAGCUAAUAGAUUAUGUAAAUUCCUUUCCAAGUGUGACAUUUUAAGCCUGAUAAGUCCGUUGUUUCUAUGAUGAUGAUGAUGAUGAUGAUGAUGGAAACGAGUUAUUUACAAAUGACUGACCUAAAACAUAUGUAUAUCGUAUAAGUUCUUUCUUCUGCCGGCUUAAUAUACAGUAUAUAUAUUUUUGAAAAAUGAAGUGGUAUUAAAUUUCUGCGUACUUUACUUCUGUGGAGUCUGUCUUCUCACGUUGAUAUUUCUGAGGUUCUGUAUUCACCGAUUUUUUCAUUAAUUUCAAACAGGAUUAUAAUGACGGCUUGUAUUUUCUGCGAAUUUCAAAUCUACAGUCUUAGUGUCUUGCGCAGAAAAUGCAGCAGAUUAAUUUUUCAAGCGCCUUGAGAAUUGUUGCACGUUAUUUUAUAUAUACGAACAUGCAAAACAGACACGAAAAAAAUAGCGGGAAGAAAACAAUAUUUUUAACGCAUGUGACCAGACGAAAAGUAAUGGCGGGAAGAAAAGUGCCUUUUGUAUAUCUUUUGCAAAUUAAACCAGAUAAAAAUGUUUUCAAUAGCAUGAAAAAAAUGUCUGUAUUAGAGCGUCUAAACUUGCCCACCCUCACGCGCAAAAUGAGCCAAAAUUUACAAUUUGUCUCUACGAGAUAAAAAAUGUAAAGUAAAUCUGUUUUUAUAGAUUUCUAGCGUAAUUUAAUUUAAUAUAUUCCGUCAUUAGGAAUGAUUUCAGAACAGUUUGCAUCAUUUUGCAAAAAUGAAAUGUUCCAUCACCCUAUAUGCAUAUUUCAUGAGGUCCACACACUCUAACGUCCACUGAAUGAUGAAAUGCAUGAUGGGUUAAUAUAUAAAAAUGAUGCUUUUACAUUACUAAGUUGAAGAAUUAAAAACAAAAUAUCGUAUGUAUAUAUAUUAACUUUCAUACCUUGGCGUGGCCUUAUCGUAACAAUUUUGCUGCUGUGUCGUCGAUUAGCGUUUGAAGUCCCCAGAAAUUUUAAAAUAUCAAACAAGCGAUUGUAAACUAUAUAAAACGCGCAAAAUAUUUCACUUAUGAUUUUUCUAUUUAUGAACAAAAGCAAGUGUUACUGGUUUUUAACUUUUAUAUAUCUUUCGCAAAUUAAACUAGAUGCAGUUGUUUUCAAUAGCACGAUAAAAUGUCUAUAUGUUACAGUCUAAAGUUGCCCACCCCUCAUGCAUAAAAUGAGCCACAAAUUAAAAUUUGUCGCUGUGAGACAAAAAUGUAAAUGUUUUAAUAAUUUUCUGGCGUAAUUUAACGUAUAAUGAUAUAUGGGCAUUUUCGCAUCAUUUUGAGAAAAUGAAAUGUCCACACCCUCUAAAUAAUAAAAAUGAUGCUUUUACGGUACUAAAACAUUGUUAAUGGUGGUAAAAUUAAAAAGACAUGUCUCAAUAUUUGUUUUAUGAUUUUUUUCGCAUUGGUAUCAGUGUUAUUUUUGGAAUAUUCAAUCUUACUGCCCCUUGCCCAAAUAAGUGAUUUCUUUUUCCGCAAAAUUUAAACUUUGAUGGGUGAUUUUAGAUAUCUCAGGAAAAUUGGACAGGUCUGUCUCUUGGGAAAAAUCUCCAAGCAUUCAUUCAUUUUUCACAACAUUUACUCAUUCGUGGGAAUCCUCUUUUCAAAAAGCAUCAUAGAUAAUCAAUUGAAACAUCUGACUCUUGUAUAUUCAAGUAACAAUACAAAAUCGGCCAUUUCUACUUACGAAACCUGAUUUUUAUGUACAUGCUUUAGUUUUUUCAUGUCAGUUCGAAAGUAACAGAAUGAUUAAUUUUCCUCAUGAAAGGAAAGCUUUUUCUCUCUUCGGUCAGAACUGUCAAUACCUGAUGGGUUGGAAAAUAUAUGAAACUGUUCGCUGCAUAACACUUUGAGGUAGUUUGGCUUUAAACAUGUUUCACAUUAACUGUGGGUAAUCAAAUGCCGAUUAUGUCUUUUCAGAGCAUUUCAGACAAGACUGAUAAACCUUACAAUCAUUUCCCUAGGGAAAAUCUUUAGAAUUGACUGGCUUUUGACUCCUGUGCAACUACAUAAUAUUGUUUAUAAAAUUAAGUUUUUAAUAUCUUUGUUUAUUUUCAGUCUAGUGUCUAGUUAAUUGCUUAAAAAAUGUACUUUGCUCUGCUCUAUUUUCAUUGACGAUACAAUGAUAGAUGAUUUAUAGCACACUUGUUGCAGUUCCACUUUAAGAUAAAUAUCAAAGUUUGAUACCAUAUGUUCCGGUAGUUAUUAUCUUGAUUUGAAUUGUUUCAGUAAAAGAAUAAGGAACAAACAUCCAAUUAGGAUUAGCCAAGUUUAAUACACGAAACAAUGAAACGAAAUAAGUGCCUAAAUAAGUAAGAAGAAAUCAUUUUUUAUUAAGGAUACAAUUCGAAAUGAUGAUAGAUUAUAAUUAUACAUUGUACACUGUCAGUGUUUAUUUAGAUCGAUCCAUCGGAAUGUUUAUUUACACACAGAUAUAAACAUUAUACCAUGGGAAUUCGUAGCACAUAAUAUUUAGACUGAAGUCGGAAACAUUUUCCUGAAACGAUUAUUUUUCGUGUUAAACCUUGUGCUUCCAGAGAUAAUAACCAAGGUGUUUAUUUACAAGAUUGUUAUCAUUACUUCAAACCAACGGACACUAGUUUAUGUUCCAAAAAUGUAAACAAAAUAAGAAAAUCAACUGAAAUUUAUUUUGUAAAUUAGGGCGCCAAUAUAAAUUGAGUUGAUAAGAAAGUGCUAACUACAAUAAACGCACUGGAAAGCUAUUUCGGAUAAAAUACAUCGGUUUGAGCGGACAUUAUUUAUGCAAAAUUACAGAUAUCGUUAUUUGUAUCUGUUCUGGUCGUUUCUGAACAUGGAUAUUUUUCGGAAGAGUUCGCAUGAUAGUUCCCACAUACUGGAUUCAGAUUCAUUGGUAAUGGAGGCCUUGUGUACUAUGCAAUACAAAGAAAACUACAUUCAUGUGUCAACAUUUGCUGUUAUUAACAGGGAUAUACACAGAUCAUUGUGGAUUAUAAAUGAAAGUUGGAUCUUUAAAAGCGACCACGUUACCUAACUGGAAUAGCGUUUUGAAGGAGAUGUAUAUUCGUAUUGCUUUGAAUAUUACAAAUAUAUGGACAUUUGUUUUCGUAAUGUGAAAUGAUAACGUAUCUCGAAAAUGUCAGGACAGAAACAUUCAAUAAUUACAUUCUAACCAUAUCAAGUUGUGUAAGAUGUGCAAACAGUGACAAAAAAUCAUGAUGGAAUAUAUUGAAAAUCUUGUAAUCUUUCACAAUUUGUAAUUAUUUCUAUGAUGACUAAUGGCAAUACAUGCAAGCAACAUGUAUUUUGUCUGUUUACAGAAAGUUAAAUUCAAAAGGAAUUGUAUUCUUUUUCACACAGUAUCAGUUACCUUUGACAUUCAGUUUUCUGAAACUUAUCAGAAUUUUACUCGUUAUCUUGGCUUUCCUGUAUAUACUUAUUCUUUAUUAGAUGACAUAUACAUGUAUAAUUACAUAACACAGUGCUUAACACAGUGCUUAAAUUCUGAUAGCAAUAGCAAAACUCAUCUUUUCAUCAGAUUUCAGAAUGUCUAGAAUUUUGAGUGCAAUGUUAUCACUCAUUUUAUUUAUCUGAUUUAAGAUAGAUACACACAAUAUCAACAUAGGUCGCUUAUCAGAAUUCUGAAAGCCAUAACAACGGUCAGAUUUUCUUCUGUCAGAUUUCAAUUGUUUUGUAACGGCUUAUCGGAAUUCGGAUAGCAACAUUGACAUACAUUAUUUAUUUCCUCUGUUUAUAAUUCAGAUAGUAAAGUCAAUGUUCUUGUUUUCUACUGCCUGCUCUCAAAUGGUGUUUAUCUGAAUUCGGAUAGCAAACGCAACGCGCAGUUUCUCUACUGUUCGGCUCCAGAUCGUUUUACGCUGUGGCUUAGGCGAAUUCGGAUAACAACGAUAAUACAUACACAAGAUCUAUUUCAUAUAUUCCUGAUGAUAUGCAAAACUUAUAGUUAUUUCAAUUCAGAUAGCAAAGUCAAUGCUAGGUUUUUUGAACUGCAUGAUUGCUUAUCUGAAUUUGGAUAGCAAAAACGAAACACAAUUUUUAUUCUGUCCAACUUUAGAUAGUCAGUAUUUUAUAGACUUGUCUGAAUUCGGAUAAUAAUACAAACUCACAUAUUUGGUCAAGUGUAUUUACUUGUUCGUUUAAUGAUCAGGUACAAGGUCUCUUCCGUAAAUUAUCGUAUUUGGUAAAGUGUAUAUUUGCUUAGGACAGCGUAGCAUAAUGAAUAUUGGAUUUAAUCUGACAGUAUUUUGUAUUUGUAUAAUUGAUAUAAAAUGAAUUGAAGGUAAUCUAAGUCUGCCUUUUAUCUGAUUUCGGAUAGAGCAGUUUUCUUAUACAUAUUUAGAUAUGCGGUUUCCUGU